AAAAAAAAAAAAAAAAAAGAUAGGUUUUGAAUUGAAGACAAAGGUUUGUGGUUUGGUACAGGCCUCUCAGAAUAUUACCACACGAACAGACUAAUGGUCCAAAGUGAAAUAGAAAUUGUUAUUCCAAUGUACAAGUGUUGAGCCUCAGUACAAGUUAGAAUGUGCAUUUUUCUAUCCUGGACAUAUUUCUAUCUUCAGCUAAUGUCCCCACACCUGACACCAAAAAAAAAAGAAAAGUCAAGGGUUGAUGAAAUAUUGCCAAAUAUCACAGCAUCUCACGAGAUCUAAAAGGCUGAAAUAUUGCCAAAUAUCACAGCAUCUUAUGAGAUCUAAAAGGCUGAAAUAUCGCCAAAUAUCACAGC